GCCUAAAACAGAGAUUGACCCAAAUUUCUCCUUACUGGUGAGAGUGGGGAAAUGGACACACACACCCAUAGCAUGGUAUUCUAAUCUGUAUUUAAAAGGAACAAGGUCUACAUCUGGAAAACAACACAGGUGAACAUCAUCUGCACCACGUGGAGUGACUUUCUGUACUAUUCUGUCCAUCUCCAAUCGCAAAACCACAAGGUCAGAAGGCAGGUAUAGCAUCUGAUGGUUCUUCUCAUCACUCUGCCCACUGAAGAGCAUGCCUGGAGACAGACCCCUUGUUCAAGGUGUUAUCCUCAAUCUUCAGAGAUCAAGAAAGUCGGGACUGCUGAGGACAGUCCAUAACACACAUUAUCUUCUAGUGGCUUUAGCUUAAAUCCAAAUGCCUGAGCCUAAAGAGUAAGGUGCUCCUUACCCCUUUAGUCUUCCUCUCUAGUCUCAGCCUCACCCUCGGCCCCAGCAGCAGCUUCAGCUCCCAAAAGCCUUUGGGCCUUUCUAGGUUCCUCUUUGCCUCACCUUCCAAGUUUGAGAUUCUAGAUUCUUUGGGGUCACUGCCUCCGCCGGAAAAAAUUCUGAAUGCCACUGGAUUGUUCAUCUCUAGACUCUGGGGAAGCUGUAUCUCUCUGUCUUAAAUAGCUCAGAGACCUGCAACAUUUGUACUACUCAUGCGCAUGUGUGCACAGCAGGUAAAAAUGCAGAUCAAGUUGA